rnacentral:rRNA from 1 species
UACGUAGGGUGCAAGCGUUGUCCGGAAUUAUUGGGCGUAAAGAGCUCGUAGGCGGCUUGUCACGUCGACUGUGAAAACCCGGGGCUCAACUCCGGGCCUGCAGUCGAUACGGGCUGGCUUGAGUGCGGUAGGGGAGACUGGAAUUCCUGGUGUAGCGGUGAAAUGCGCAGAUAUCAGGAGGAACACCGAUGGCGAAGGCAGCCCCCUGGGCUGAGAUUGACGCUCAGGCACGAAAGCGUGGGGAGCGAACAGG